rnacentral:rRNA from 1 species
UACGAAGGUGGCAAGCGUUGUUCGGAUUUACUGGGCGUACAGGGAGCGUAGGCGGUUGGAUAAGCCCUCCGUGAAAUCUCCCGGCUUAACUGGGAGGGUGCGCUAUAGACUGUGGGGCUAGAGUGUGGGAGAGGAAAGUGGAAUUCCUGGUGUAGCGGUGAAAUGCGUAGAUAUCAGGAGGAACACCGGUGGUGUAAACGGCUUUCUGGACCAUAACUGACGCUGAGGCACGAAAGCGUGGGUAGCAAACAGG